rnacentral:piRNA from 1 species
UGAUAAGCAUCCCAUAGCCAUGAGCCAA